GCGAGAUUCCGAAGCUGAUCAGACGGUUUAUUUUUCCUUGUAUAGUAUUAGUACUAAUGAAAAGGUUAACGCGUCUUUUAUUAACACCAAUUUUCCGUGAUCUUUUCAUAGUGAUUCAAAAUAAUAUGAAGAAAAAAAAAAACUGAAGAAAGGUAACUCGUUGCGAUUUAUACUAAUAGCAUUUUUCUACAUGGAUGAAUUUAAAAAGGCUUAAUCAUGAAACGCUAUAAGAGAAUUGUAGUCCACCUUUAAUAAGAAAAUGAUGAAAGAUUUUUUUUUUCAUACUAGACUUUUAU